GGUGACAGUCAGCUGCCUUCUGGGAUAAUUUAGCAAAGCUCUCCAAAGAUCGUGGAACCCGCUUCCCUUUGCUUUCCCCAAAGGGUGUCACAUUCAAGCCACAUCGUUUGCAAUAUUUAUGAUCCUGCUCCCUGGUCAUCAUUAAGAGCAAGUGGGGCUGGUGGAGCUGAGCCUGCUGGGAUAGAAAAAGGAGCCAUUCUUCGAAGAUCUGUAGAAGGGGAAGCAACAAGACUGCAGGAGGCAGGCGUAAAUCAACACUUGUUGUAUACAAAGUUGGGCUCGAAUCGUCUCCCAGAAAGAACUGCCACUCUUCUCCUUGGAGAUCCUCCUUGACCAACCUAAGAAGAAUGCCUAAGGGAAAUGGGCUGACUGAAAUCUCAAGCCAAAGAUGGACAAGAGUGGGGCUUAUGACCGGUGAAAGCCUGGGCUCUUUCGCUUCUGCUGGAGUCCCUUGUGCAGCCACUGUUGGACUUCACGGGCUGUACUACGGAUUCUCCAGCUGGCCAUGAGCUAUGCAACCCUACCAAAGACACACGGUCCUCUUCUCUGCUCCACUUAAGACAGAUAACAGCAGAAAGCAAGCUAGCACUAAGCAUCAUUUAGAAGAUAGUUAUAAAGUAUGUUUAUCUUCCCAGGAAUUGAUGUCAGAAGAUGAUAAAUGGCCAUCGAUCUGGCCAGCAACAGUAGGGCAAGGCACACCUAACCUACAAUUACUCUCCUUUGCUAAUGACCCCAUUAGCCACUGGAUCAAACAGUGGGUGUGAUGAUGCUACAGUUAUUCCCUUGUCGAUACCCCUUGGCCUGAUCUAUACUGUCCCAAAUAAAUAGUAAAGGCCCC
rnacentral:lncRNA from 1 species